rnacentral:tRNA from 1 species
UCCCUGAUGGUCCAGUGGUUAAGACUUUGUGCUUCCACUGUAGAGGCAGUGGGUUCAAUUCCUAGUCAGAGAA